rnacentral:rRNA from 1 species
UACGAAGGGGGCUAGCGUUGCUCGGAAUCACUGGGCGUAAAGCGCACGUAGGCGGAUCUUUAAGUCAGGGGUGAAAUCCUGGAGCUCAACUCCAGAACUGCCUUUGAUACUGGGGAUCUCGAGUCCGGGAGAGGUGAGUGGAACUGCGAGUGUAGAGGUGAAAUUCGUAGAUAUUCGCAAGAACACCAGUGGCGAAGGCGGCUCACUGGCCCGGUACUGACGCUGAGGUACGAAAGCGUGGGGAGCAAACAGG